CUUCUUUUUCGAUGUAUUGCUCAAGGGCCUUGGGAAGGGCUCUAUCUGCUUUACUUGGACAAGGGCCAUCUCGAGAGAGCUUGAAUUGUUAGGUCCAAUGGCAAUUGCUGAAAUAGAUGGUGUUGACCGUCUUCUCGAUGCUAAUAGUUUUGUGGAUGACAAGAAGCACCACAGACGACAUUGCUGGUUGGGGAACUCUAUUUGAAGGAAGAGCAGGUGAUGGAA